AACAUGUAUAACACGUAUAAAAGACAAAAUUGGUCAUUUUUUAGGGUUUUAUACGUGCAGCUUCUCUCUAGCGAUUUUGGACGACUCGGCUAUUUAUAAUUGUUUGGCUACCGAUCGAAGCUCACAAUAGUAUUUUCGCUCAAAACCUUCAACGAUCUUUGCUAUUUUCCUCUUAUCUUCGAAGACUAGGCCAGGAACAAGUUAGCAGUGAGGACAAAAACGCUUAAGGGAGAAAAAGCUUCGGUUUAUUUAACCUUUUUGUUCACGACAGUUUCAGACUCAGACGUGUUCGUGCUGAGCAGAGGUUUUCUAAUCACUCUACCGACGAUGUAGGAUUUCUCAUUAAAGCUUACUUCUGGAUGUUUUAUCAGUUAUUUUAUUACUGUUUGAGUAGUUAUUAGGGGUCCACUAGAGAUGGAUUCCCGAGUUGUACCCUUGGAGCUUUUAGAUUAUUGGGAUUUAAGUUUUUAUCUUUAAAGGAUUUUAUAUUAGUUUC